GACGAACGCUGGCGGCGUGCCUAACACAUGCAAGUCGAACGGGGUUAGUUCCUUCGGGGACUAACUUAGUGGCGAACGGGUGAGUAACGCGUGAGAAACCUGCCUUUCAGUGGGGGACAACAGUUGGAAACGACUGCUAAUACCGCAUAAUGUUAUUUGGGGGCAUCCCCGAAUAACCAAAGCUUUAUGUGCUGAAAGAUGGUCUCGCGUCUGAUUAGCUAGUUGGUGAGGUAACGGCUCACCAAGGCGACGAUCAGUAGCCGGUCUGAGAGGAUGAACGGCCACAUUGGGACUGAGAUACGGCCCAGACUCCUACGGGAGGCAGCAGUGGGGAAUAUUGGGCAAUGGGGGAAACCCUGACCCAGCAACGCCGCGUGAAGGAAGAAGGCCUUCGGGUUGUAAACUUCUUUACCAGGACGAAGAACGUGACGGUACCUGGAGAAAAGACAACGGCUAACUACGUG
rnacentral:rRNA from 1 species